CACGUAGGAGGCAAGCGUUAUCCGGAUUUACUGGGCGUAAAGCGCGUGUAGGCGGCUCGGAAAGUUGGAUGUGAAAGCUCCUGGCUUAACUGGGAGAGGUCGUUCAAAACUUCCGGGCUCGAGAGUGGUAGAGGGAGGUGGAAUUCCGAGUGUAGUGGUGAAAUGCGUAGAUAUUCGGAGGAACACCAGUGGCGAAAGCGGCCUCCUGGACCAUUUCUGACGCUCAGACGCGAAAGCUAGGGUAGCAAACGGG
rnacentral:rRNA from 1 species